rnacentral:rRNA from 1 species
CCGCACCUCCCCCUCCCGGCUCUGCGCUGCCUUCUCGCCUAGGCCUACGCUGGCACGGGACCUACCCUUGGUUUAAAGAACCCGACGCUCCGAGCGGUGCCGGUCCGCCUCGAUCGGCCGUGUAGCCGGACCGAGCCGCUCCGCCAACCGGCAAGUACGAGACCGGAGAUGUAUAGAUGUCAUACCUUGUUUGUUUAGGCCCUCGUUAUCAACCGAAACAAGUAUAAGUCGGGUCGCACCUUUCUUCUUACUGAAGUAGAAAGAAGACGUUGUGGUUUGUUUAAUUCCUCGAAGAAGUGACACAGACAAUAGGUGGGGUUUCGUAUUUCCCUCGUAGGAGGUCGGGUUCGAAGUGCCGCAGCACGCGGAGCUACCGGGGAGCACCACGGGGCGGCGUAGUAGACCAUGCUUAGGUCCAAAGGUACGGGCCGUUUAAUUAAUUUAAGAAGUCACUUAACACACCAGAAUCGAACGUACUACAUAAAAAUCCGGACUAAUUCUAAGUAAGUAGACGCCUGUUGUGUUGUAAAGGGGGAGAAAAAAAAAAAACCAAACUGUUGUAGUCCUUAGGUAGGAUUAUCAUGUCAUGUCGAAUGGGCACGAUCAUCUCUGGCCGAACACUUCAACUCCAAAGGACAGGACCAGAUGAAGUAACUAGAACAAUAGCUAUGAUGAGGGAGGUAAGGAUUUAUAUACUGCAAAACUAUCAAGUUUAUUGCCUCCCUCAUAUUAAGUAUGACGGAGAGGAGAUAUAUAUAAAAAGAUUGUUUUUGUUUUUGUUUUGGCUUUGUUCUUCAUACAGGAAUUGUAUCUUUUACCUUUUAUCCUGCGAAACGAGAUGAACCUUAUUAUCUUUGUUGUUACAUUCUUUUAUCUAAUAUCGUUCGGUGAUGUGUCUUCUUCUUAAUCAGGAACAAACUGAACAACUGGUGGCAAACUGUAAAUCCGUCUGUUCAGAAUGUACUAAACGCCGCGAUCACUGACGAUAAACAAUUCGAUGAGGUUCAGGCGUAAGACGGCAUCUCGAAAGCGACGGUACCUUCCAAUAAACCCAAAGGUCGGUUUCAGUAGCAGUCUAAACUCCAUCGGAAAAACCACAGGUGUUUAUUUUUCGUCACUGUUCGUCUAUCGUUGACUACUAUUACUUUCUUCGUUCGGUAUACGUAGACGAAGACACCUUAAGAUCACUGUUUAAUCUUUAGUAUUCGUCUGAAAGGACUUAAGACGAGAAACCACCAUUCAACUCGACCUUACCUAACUUAUGCGUAUUGUCUUAAUAGUUCCCCUUUUUGGGUGUCAAUUGGAGAGAAUUAAAAGUUGUGUCAUCACUUGGUAUUACCGCAACCCACACAUAUGGAAAGUUCGUAGGAUCGAUCGAUAAACUCCACCUCAGAACAACUGAUGGCCGGAUUCUUGGAGAUAUAGGUUCGUGGUGGUGUCUCAAUGAGUCUUUCAAGUUCGAGGGUGAUAGGAAGGCCGAGACCCACCGACUGAUAAGAAGGUUCGAGGGUAGGUACCGAGAAGAGCAGAAGGAGGAGGACAAGCCGGUUUAGGAUGAGACGUGUCCGCGGCUGUGGUAGUUGAGGUGGUGUGGCGACAGGCCGAGUGUCUUCUAACACAGUGUCCCGUCGUUCAAGUGGAACCCGAAGAUGAGGGGUGGGUUUGGCGUUUCAUUCUGGUAGAGAAGGUGGAGACUGCUAAUGAUGAUGUAUCCGUAUACCAUGUCGUGACAUGGUGACAACUGGGGACACACCUGCCGUUGACGGCUGUACGACCACAGACGGGGUUGGCGGCGAAGGAACCUUUAACGGUUCCUGCCGUUGGAACAGGAGGCACUAGUCUGGUCCUUGGCCGUCUAUACCAGCUGGUUGCACUCGUAUAGGAGGUUGAGGUGGUACCGGUAGUAGUCCCUGUCGCCAUCGGAGCUCGAGUGGCUACGAAGGUUAGGUAGGUAACAAAUAACCGUUUCGUAUCUGGUAGGGUGUCUGUGGACCGAAGGCCCCCGGUUCGAACCUGACUUGUUCUAGUGACCACACUCGUUGUCCGAACAAAGAACCUUCUUGUCGCGUCUGGGUAGAGGACCCGACAAGAGAGACCUCGAUCUGGGUUUGCCGUGUUGUGUUGAAAAGUAGGCCACCUUGCUUAGGCAUUUGAUGACCUGGUCACCGGGGACCUUGCCGUUUAUGAAGUGGGACUACGGUCUCCGACGGUUCUUGUAUAUGGCGAAGGUUAAGUAGUUGUUGCGGUGUCUUUCGAUGGAGAGGAUGAGCUACCUCCUCCUAAGUAAUCAGAGCGCCAAGUAGUAACUGCACUGACCUGUCUGGUUCGUCGACUAUACCUACCUAAGGUUUGUUGUCACCUAAAACCAGACCCGGGUCGGUGUCGGUACCACGCUGCACAUACGCGAAACACCUCGUAUGCCGUCGACGUGGUUGGGGGAGUUACGCUCACUGUGCAUGACGUUGACACAGUUCCCCAAGUCGGUCUUCCAAGUCUCACUGACCCUGGAGGUUCUAAUGUCACCACCUACGUUCUCCUUACGUGGUAACAAGACGCUCUGGUUGAGCUCGAGGCGCGUGUGAGUCAGACUAUUCAAGAUACAGUACUGUCUACACUCCGAUGGACUAUUACGAGCCCCACGUCAACGGUUUUCGAGAGUUCUUACAGUCCACCGAACAGACUUAUUAACGAGAACGUGACGAAUGCGAAUGUUAGGGCGGCCCACGCAACAAACCGUACUCCUGGACUAAUUGGAGGUUCUCGUUAUGUCGCCUCUUCCUCCACCGUGUGAGGACGAGUCCGAACGUCGUAGGCUCGACGGUCUAGUUGUUUCCUGUAGGCUCGACGGUCUAGUUGUUUCCUGCUUUUGUUCCUAGUCACCAAGUCAACAACCACCUCAACGACGUCAAAACUAUUAAGAACGCUAAUACAGCAAGAAGGAUAAAGUCUUCACGGCGGCUCUGUCUUGAGAAGCCUAUAGGCUCUUACGACCUCGACGUGGCUGACUGAAGUCCAUGUGACUAGACAACCUACUAUAAGCUUCGUAGCUAAGUGAAGAAGAGCUAGAUAGUUGUGAUUCUCGCCGUUGUUUACUGAAACCGCUUCCUUUAUACGAACCAUUUCCUCCAAAACCCUACCAAGUAUUCCCUCAGGAUGGACUGCCAUUUGUUUAUCGUCAUUUUUCUGAUACAGUUUCAAGGUGUGUUCCUUAUCCCCUUGACUUUUCGCUUGAACAGGACCAGCGAUUCGAAGCGGUGUCCUUAGAACACUCGGAGUAACCACAAACAAACCUUCUUGUUCUCUUUUAUGAACACAUGCUUAAAUACGGGUUGUCUUCGGAACUGUGGUAAGAAAAACUAAGACUCUUUACGUCUCUGGAUCUAACCCUUUCCUCUAAGUUCUAAUAGUCACCCCAACGAUCCCCCAAUGCCAUAGAGGUACUUCUUAGAGUUAACUUCUAUCAAGUGGCACUGGACUUUCGCUCGUUAUAGGAUAACCUGGAGCUAAUGUUGGGAUUCUAAAGACUGAAACCGAAUCGCUUCUAUAAACCUCCCCUAGUUAGUCUUCUACAGUGAUCCGCGUAGCGACCCUGUAUGCCUAUGUACAGCGGGCUCAUACGGUACGUACCAGUUAUAAGUCGCUUCAGCCUGCGUAAGUCGAAGCCACAAAACCAAAACCUCUAACAGUGUCCUUCUUCUUUGUUACCGAGGACGUUGAGCCUCGUUAUACAGAUAGAGCAUUUGGAACAUACCCUCAUGACCUGGUCCCCUUUCCAGUAGCUCAACUAGCUAGGUAGGGAAUCGCUGGUAGGGAGAGUGCAACUGGUCCACGACUUCACGUAGGUCUAGCCAGACGACACACACGUCUUGUCCGGACUUCUAUCCGGUUGCUACAGUAGCCACUUACAAUACGAAUCGUCGGUCUCACGAGCGGAGGGAAGACAAAGGUACGGUCGGAAGAGGCUGCCUAACUCACCUGCGUCACUAUUAUUAAGUCUUCGCCGCAGGAGUUUACCUUACUGGUAGUGUUUCGAACUCGGUUCUACUUUGGUCAAAAGUCAAAAGUGAUCACGGUGUAAUGACUGGAAGAUAUCUAGUCGAACUACUUUACAGAAACCACAGUGAAAAAUCUCUAGAAUCACGGAGGUUCCAAUAGUACGACCAUUAGCCCUAAUGGUUAUACUUUUCUAAAUUACGACAACGACCAUCGAACCUAAAAUAAGAUUAAUGACCUAGCUUCAAAAUAAGUUUAACUUUUUUGUCAUAUCUAACUAAUAACGGUGUGGAUAACAAAGUCACAUGACAUACAGAUGAAAACAAACUCUCAACCCCCCGAAUGGACUUCUUACAACACCUGGUCGGCUUUAUAUCGA